UUAAAUAUAUUUUUUAAAUCG
rnacentral:piRNA from 1 species